CUUGAUCUCAGAACCUCCUCGCGUCUAGCCCUCGUCGUCACCCCCAAAUAAUGCUGGGCGAAUCUCGAAUUAACCAUAAGGAGUAUUUCGAUAACCCAGUCAGAUCGUGAAGCCGGCAUUGGCGGUCAGCUGACGAUCAUGAUCUGCUCUUUAAUGUCGUCGGGUCAGCACCGGUUGACUUCGGGCCCGCGUGGUACUAUCUAAAUAAAAGUAUUUCACUGUCAUUUUCUCGUACUGAGUGUUGUGCUGGUAGUACGUAUGCAAUUUAACUAACUUGCAGCAGAAGUUCUCGUCCGCUUCCCCGGAGAAUUCAUUUGAUAUAUUUCCCCUCUUUUUGCGGUGCAAUUCUAAUAAUGGAAGUACGCAGGGGCGUUCUUUUUUCGUUGUCAUUCCCGAGGGGGAGGAGGAGAGUCGAUGGUUCCUCGAUCGACAAUGGAAAUAGCCAUGGUGUUGCUAGUAGUGCCUUGUGAAUACUGCGGAUAAAAGCUGAUAUUCGGCCAAUUAUUGCACAUGUCAAGUCGGAUGCUCCAGGUCUAACUAACGCGAUUUGCGGCGCUCUUUUAUGAUAUCAUCAGGACAUUAGGGGCCCGGCCGGUUCCUCGAAAACCCCGCCAAUACUAUUACAUCGUCUUUCGUUAUUAUCAUAAUAGAUUAUUACUGGUGCCAAUGCCUGUGCGAUGUUCAAAUUAUCGCGGUAGAGGUGAUCAACGAUCAAUAAUGAACUCCUUUGUUCUGUAGCAAUCGUUGGCGAGAGGUCUUCCAAUUGAAUUCGCACUGUAUUUUAUCCUCCUGACCACGUUGGUUAUCCUCUGGAUCACCACAGGUUCAUGCCGAUCGACCCAUAUCUGCAGUGUAUAAGAUGCGUAGCUGUGCAGGCUGUAGUAUCUAGGAUAUAUUAUGGCCAAUCAUCUUUCCAAUCCCUGCCUUGCUCUUCAUCCUCCUGAACUCUGAAAAAGGGAAACUAUUCUGAAAUGGAAACCAUUUUAGUACAGCGAUUGCCGCUCUAAAAAAUUGGAGUCUUUGAAAACAACGUAACUAAACACUCCUCCGUUGCUACUAUUUGCGCACUAUACUAUUCAUAAUUCUUCUGCUGUUAUUUAUUCUUGCACCUCUUUCAGAUCGAAGGACGAAAACAUCCUUCCUCAGCCAUGAAUGCGAAGAGAACAGCAAACCUCAUAGUUCUUCAUCGGCAAAAUAGGAGCUGUGGUUUGCACAGUUUAAACUUGAUCAGAAGAUGUGUGUGUAAAAAAAUAAAAGAUGCGGCUCCUUCAUGUAUAUGUCUCCAUGACAUUGGCAUAGACAAACAGGUACGACGAUGGCCCACGAUCAAUGAUGCUGAUUUACGCGUUUUUUUUACCAUCGUCCUCUAAGAGUUUUUUGUCUUCCCGACCCUGUUGUAAUUCGAUUCGGCGUACCCACACACACCCUCAACGGAAGAAGGAAGAUACCCAUAACUGUCCCCCAAUUUGCCCAAAUCUCUGUCAAAACCUCUCUUGCCGCCUUGUCUUCUAUAUGAUAUUGAGCGGCAUCGCACACGCCUUGCGUACCCCUUGUGGGACGAUCGGUGUUUGAGUUGGUUAUGAUGUAGAGGAUGCUGUGCGUUUACCGCUGAUUGGUAAGGAGCAUGAAUUUCCGUCAGCGGACUGGACCAAGAUGAAGCCACGGCCAAUAAAUAAUUAGAUUAUGGAAGACGACUCGCCUUGGAUCAGUUAAUAAACUGUGGCUCAGUCGACAGCGCUCCAAAUGGCCAGUAAAAAGAGAUCUCAAUACGAAUAUCACCUUUCUCGAUAUGCCCCCGUUUGAAACUCGGACCCAGUAACGGCCAUUCAUUUCGUCGGCGUAAAAUCGAGCGGGUAGAUUGAAGGAGUGUUGAGGAUGGCGGAUCAGCUAGGUUCUUCACUGGUGGUGCUGCUACUACAGCUCGGAAAGCUUGCAGGGGGCUGGACGGAUGAGUUGAAGAACUAUAUUGAAGACAGUUAGAGAUCUUGAAAGGAUGCCAUGGGCUUAUCCUUUCGGCAUUAUCUUCAGCGGUUUCAAGUAAUAGUGUGCCGAGAUCAUUCCGGAGACAUGAUCGUCUGCAUUCGACGUCUGUUUAAUACAUGACCCACUGAGGCAAGCAUUACGUUAUGAU
rnacentral:sRNA from 1 species